GAAGAUUUCUGAAUGUCGAGAGGGGGUAUUAUAAAGACGGAAUAAUUUAUAUAUGUAAAAAAAAAAUAUCUCCAAACCUGAAAGAAUUGAAGAUGACAUUCUGCUAUGUGAAAAUAUGUGCGUGUAUUUGUUACCAUACUCAUUGGUAAUUUGUUGAAUGUUCAAAACGAACAUUGUUCCCAAACACCGGAACUGCAACACUUGACGUUUUCAGGAGAUGAGACACACAUCAAUGAUUUCUGGUAGAAAACUGAAGCAAGAUUAUCAAUCAAUUGGAAGAGAAAGAUAUUUUAUAUCGGAAAGCAGAUAAAGGCAAUAAGCACUUCCUAAGGUGAUUCCCGUUUUUGACGCGCAGACAAGUUGGCGAUGUGCUCCCACCCUUCCUUCGUCAAAACAAGUUCUCCACACCAGAGCUUACUCGAUUCCAAGCUCGCGUUCAGUCAAAGACGCAAUUUAGAGGGUGCUGGAUGACGCUGUGGCAUUCGGUUUCAUCAGAGUUCGCGCGAAAAUUUUGAGCAUCGGACGUUUGGCGGAGUUUUGUGAGUUGUGGAGGAUGUUUUAUGAAGUUUAGUGAGGCUCGUUGACAAUACAAUCAGUGAAAAAAGAAAUUUUGGUUUUAAUGCUUCUAGUGACUUUCCUCGUGUGAAAUGUUUCAUUUGACGAUUGAAAGUAACGAUGGGGUUCAAUAAUACCUAAGAUUUCCACCGGAUUUGGCGAGCCUUUCAAUCCCCGUAGAAUAAAACCUCGUGAAAGUUUCAAUUAAGACGAAGUGCCGGAACUGAACCUUUAAAAAAAUAAACACACGGCACAGCACUUUGACACCAUGCGGGCGACUUCAUUGCCGUUCGUGAUGGGGUUCAGUUGGGUGUUGUUGGCGGCGGUCGUUCUGGCGGCGGCCGGAGAUGUGGCGCAUCUCUCCUUCUCCGGAUCGAGAUGUCCCAGGGCGUGUUCUUGUGUGGGGACGACGGUAGAUUGCUCCAGGAGGGGUCUGACUGCGGUGCCGAGGAACAUUCCUUUGGAUACUGA
rnacentral:lncRNA from 1 species